CCAGGGCCCGUGGGCGCGCGCGGCCGCCCGCCACUCAACACCGAGCCGCCCCCGCAGCCGCUGCCGCCGCUACCCGCACGACCGUCGCCUUUCAACGUGCCGGCGCCGCCUGCGCCGCUCGACCCCUGGCCGCUGCCCGCCUUCCCCCCGCCGCUGCCACUGCCGCCCCCGCCUCCGCACUUUUUCCUGUCUCCGCCGUGCUGAAGGCCCGGCCCUCCCCGCCCCGGAGGGGCUGCGGGCGGUAAAGGGUUUGGAUGCCAUUGCUAAGGCCUUCCUCUGCUGAAGUUUGUAUGGCUUCUUGGAAACUCAGAACCUGUCUUCCAAGUCUUAAGAAGUCAAGCUUUCAGCUGAAAUAGAUCCUGGGGUCCCUUGGGCCUGGGCGCACGGAGAGAACAGCGAUGUUGAUGGACAGUCGAUACUGGGCCUUGGAACAGGAGUGUCACAUGCAAGGGCUCUGAAGUCAUCCCCAAGGGACAGGAAAGCUCCCAGGCCCUCCUCCCUCUGAGCCGAGAAUCAGACAGUAAACAGGAAGGACAAGACUGAAUGUGGGCUCCUAAAGAAGACAGCACUCUCAGAGCUUCAGAUGGCUAACUGCUGCUGGUUGUAAGCUGACAGUUACGACGGAUAAUAAAGUUGUUACCCAGUCAAUGGAGUCGGCCCCAGUUUACAAAUGAAACUGCCAUUGUGCUCUUGAUGAAAUACUCCUGUCCCAACUUAAUACCUACAAUAAUACCUAAGGUGUGCAGGGCACUUGCGGCCCAGCCAGUGCCUUUGGCAACCCUGGAGGUAAGCAGGGCAGG